CUCUAUCAAUCCAAUCAAAGGCCCACUCAACCAUCAAAUUAUUCACAAGGCUUCAACAAUGAUCAAAGGCUUAAUGCACUAGAAAAAGGGUUAGAGAUUUUAAUAAAAACCACUUCUAAUAGUAUAAAAUUCAAUGACCAAAAGCAUAAUUCACUAGAGAAAAUCCUUGAAGCAUUGAUAAAAAAUACAAAUAAUUUCAUGCAAACCACGGGCCAACUUGUAAAUUCAAACACCCA
rnacentral:lncRNA from 1 species